rnacentral:rRNA from 1 species
AUUGAACGCUGGCGGCAGGCCUAACACAUGCAAGUCGAGCGGAGCGGCGGACGGGGGAGUAAUGCCUAGGGAUCUGCCUGUUGGUGGGGGAUAACGUACGGAAACGGGCGCUAAUACAGCAUCCUAUCAGAUGAGCCUAGGUCGGAUUAGCUAGUUGGUGGGGUAAUGGCCUACCAAGGCGACGAUGCGUAACUGGUCUGAGAGGAUGACCAGCCACACUGGAACUGAGACACGGUCCAGACUCCUACGGGAGGCAGCAGUGGGGAAUAUUGCGCAAUGGGCGCAAGCCUGACGCAGCCACGCCGCGUGUAUGAAGAAGGCUUUCGGGUUGUAAAGCACUUUCAGCGGGGAGGCGUUACCCGCAGAGGAAGCCCCGGCUAACUCCGUGCCAGCAGCCGCGGUAAUUC